rnacentral:rRNA from 1 species
CCUACGGGAGGCAGCAGUAGGGAAUUUUCGGCAAUGGGGGGAACCCUGACCGAGCAACGCCGCGUGAAGGAAGAAGGAAUUCGUUCUGUAAACUUCUGUUAUAAAGGAAGAAAGACGGAUGGAGGAAAUGACAUCCGAGUGACGGUACUUUAUGAGAAAGCCACGGCUAACUACGUGCCAGCAGCCGCUGUAAUACGUAGGUGGCAAGCGUUAUCCGGAUUUAUUGGGUGAAAAGAGGGAGCGGGGGGCAGCAAAGUUCUGUGGGAAAAGAAUGAAGCUUAACUUCAGUAAGCCAUAGAUACUGGGCGGCUAGAGUGCAUGAGAGGAUCGUGGAAUUCCAUGUGUAGCGGUGAAAUGCGUAGAUAUAUGGAGGAACACCAGUGGCGAAGGCGACGAUCUGGCCUGCAACUGACGCUCAGUCCCGAAAGCGUGGGGAGCAAAUAGGAUUAGAUACCCCUGUAGUC